AAUAAGACUUUAAUUGAGUGCUAAGAGAAUGGACUUUCAAAAAAAUGCUUUCUUAAUUUUAAAAAUUGAAAUUAUUUUUUUUUGUGAAGAAACAACAAUAAAAAUUAAAGACAAGAAGACCCUAAGAAUUUUUAUAAAUUUAUUAUAUUAAUAUAUAAUACAUUUAUUUAAUUGGGGCGAUUUGAAAAUAUUUAAAACUUUUUAAAAACUAAUAGGAUCCAUUAAUAAUGAUUUUAUGAAAAAAAUACUCUAGGGAUAACAGCGUAAUAAUUUUAGAUAGAUCUUAUAGAAAAAAUAGUUUGCGACCUCGAUGUUGGAUUAGGAUUCUUAUUUAAUGAAGAAGUUAAAAAAAGAAGUUUGUUCAACUUUUAAAUUCCUACUUGAUC
rnacentral:rRNA from 1 species